UGAGAUCUGUGGCAGACCCCCCACUGUUUCUCUGUCCUUAAAGCCCACGCCCAUUAACCUCACUGUUUACAAAACACUGAUAUCAAGAUAUGAAAAAAUACCCCAAACAAAAAUGUCAAAAUAGAGGAUAGCAGCAACUUACUUGAGAACAUCUUGCUAAAAAUAUAAUAGUCAGUAGUUUAUUGAAAACAACCCUGAUACUAUUAUUUUCUGUUUAAAAUACAAUGAUAGUAACGUGAAGUAGAGAGAUUUGUUUUUUUUCUUUAAUUUUAAAACUUUUUUUUUUUCCAGUUAUUCCAGAUUGCAGUGAAAAAUGAACUGAGAGGAACACUGGGAUAGCCAAAUCACAGACUUAACGCUCUUCUUAUCAGGAAAGAUGGGAGGGCAGAAGUCAACCAGGAAGAGUCAGUCAUGAAAUAGAAACUGAUCUACCUUCGUCUUUGAAAUGGAAGUGAAACCACUGAGGAGGGAGUCACACGAUCUCUGUUAUCUGUACCUCCAUCUUCAUGCAAGCCUGCAGAUAAGCU